UACGUAGGGCGCAAGCGUUGUCCGGAAUUAUUGGGCGUAAAGAGCUCGUAGGCGGCCUGUUACGUCUGCUGUGAAAUCCCGGGGCUUAACCCCGGGCGUGCAGUGGAUACGGGCAGGCUGGAGGCAGGCAGGGGAGAACGGAAUUCCCGGUGUAGCGGUGGAAUGCGUAGAGAUUCGGAAGAACACCCAUGGCGAAGGCAGCAUUCUGGGCUUGACCUGACGCUGAGGCACGAAAGCCAGGGGAGCGAACGGG
rnacentral:rRNA from 1 species